CUGAGACAAACAAGAAGUUAGGAGGAAGCCCCAUCUGGCAAAGAGUCGUGGAGUGUCACUAAAUGAGCAGACGUCAAGUCGCACAAUCUAAAUGUGGAAGAUUUAAGUGUAACACGAGCAACAUGAGAAGGUGCAUCGAGCCCCGGAGCCAUAAGGGGAGGAAAAGAGAAGUGCACGAGUCCAGGAUUAAACAUGAACUAAUGCUGUCGCUCGUGGAAAUUAACUCUAUGAUGACUCGAUCAAUGACUGUUCUUCAAAGACGACCAGAAGAAAGUCUGUGCUUUAGAUGUUUUCACUGCAGGUUCGUGUGCUCGUGGGUCUGCACUACAGAACGUUUCAUGUUCCCCUAUGUAAACCGUGGAAGAUUCACAAACUCUGCAGUACACGUAGACAUGUAUGAGAGACAUGAAGUGACAGAAAUUCAACAGGUCAAAAUAACAA